rnacentral:rRNA from 1 species
UACGAAGGGGGCUAGCGUUGCUCGGAAUUACUGGGCGUAAAGGGCGCGUAGGCGGCCAUCUAAGUCAGACGUGAAAUCCCCCGGCUUAACCUGGGAACUGCGUCUGAUACUGGACGGCUUGAGUAUGGGAGAGGGAUGUAGAAUUCCAGGUGUAGCGGUGAAAUGCGUAGAUAUCUGGAGGAAUUCCGGUGGCGAAGGCGGCAUCCUGGACCAUUACUGACGCUGAGGCGCGAAAGCUAGGGGAGCAAACGGG